AGUGAACGCUGGCGGCAGGCCUAACACAUGCAAGUCGAGCGGCAGCGGGUCCCCGCGAGGGGAUGCCGGCGAGCGGCGGACGGGUGAGGAACACAUCGGAAUCUGCCUGGUUGUGGGGGAUAACGUAGGGAAACUUACGCUAAUACCGCAUGCGACCCUGAGUCGACGGACUGGGGGUGAAAGUGAGGGACCUUCGGGCCUCACGCGACCAGAUGAGCCGAUGUCGGAUUAGCUAGUUGGCGGGGUAACGGCCCGCCAAGGCGACGAUCCGUAGCUGGUCUGAGAGGAUGAUCAGCCACAC
rnacentral:rRNA from 1 species